rnacentral:rRNA from 1 species
UGGGGAAUAUUGCACAAUGGGCGCAAGCCUGAUGCAGCCAUGCCGCGUGUGUGAAGAAGGCCUUCGGGUUGUAAAGCACUUUCAGCGAGGAGGAAGGUGGUGAGCUUAAUACGCUCAUCAAUUGACGUUACUCGCAGAAGAAGCACCGGCUAACUCCGUGCCAGCAGCCGCGGUAAUACGGAGGGUGCAAGCGUUAAUCGGAAUUACUGGGCGUAAAGCGCACGCAGGCGGUUUGUUAAGUCAGAUGUGAAAUCCCCGGGCUCAACCUGGGAACUGCAUUUGAAACUGGCAAGCUAGAGUCUCGUAGAGGGGGGUAGAAUUCCAGGUGUAGCGGUGAAAUGCGUAGAGAUCUGGAGGAAUACCGGUGGCGAAGGCGGCCCCCUGGACGAAGACUGACGCUCAGGUGCGAAAGCGUGGGGCAGCAAACAGGAUUAGAUACCCUGGUAGUCCAGCGCUGUAAACGAUGUCGAUUUGGAGGUUGUGCCCUUGAGGCGUGGCUUCCGGAGCUAACGCGUUAAAUCGACCGCCUGGGGGAGUACGGCCGCAAGGUU